rnacentral:rRNA from 1 species
CGGACGUAGGUAACCUGCCUUGUAGCGGGGGAUAACUAUUGGAAACGAUAGCUAAUACCGCAUAACAAUGGAUGACACAUGUCAUUUAUUUGAAAGGGGCAAUUGCUCCACUACAAGAUGGACCUGCGUUGUAUUAGCUAGUAGGUGAGGUAACGGCUCACCUAGGCGACGAUACAUAGCCGACCUGAGAGGGUGAUCGGCCACACUGGGACUGAGACACGGCCCAG